rnacentral:lncRNA from 1 species
CACCUCCACCAUCCCUAGCCCCAUUUCCCUACAGCAGGCCAUGUACCCCAUCCACCACCCCCCAGCCCCAGUCCCCACACACCCAUAUAGACCUCUUUUCUUGCACCCAUAUCACACCUCCACCCAACCUAACAACUGUACACAGCAGGCCUCAUCCUAAAGUCCCAAUGCAAUACUUCCAACAGCCCAUUCCACUGAUUCCAGGCCUGUUCUGUAGACCCAACAUCACACCUCCACCGGAUCCAAUACCAGCAGGCUGUCUGCCCAGAUCUGUGCCUGAGAUCAGGGGGUGCCUCUCUAUAGACCAACUCUCUAUAGUAGUCUUUUCACUCCAGGGGUUUAGUUCAUACAGUGCUACUGUAGGUCAGAACACUCCAGGGGUUUAGUUCAUACAGUGCUACUGUAGGUCAGAACACUGGCUGCUAUGCAUGUCGGAGAAAUACAUACAAGACUAGAAGGAAUGCACAAGUGCCAAAGCACUAGUUGCUAUGUAGAUAUUAGAUGUAUAUUAUAUGAAAGGAAACAUGAUUUACAGUAUAGGUAAAGGCAUCUGGGUCAGGUGCGUUAUAGCUACUCACCAGAUUGCUAAUUGUACCAAAUUUUACCAGAAUGCACAGGCUUCCUUGCCCUGCUAAUAACGUUCAAACCAAGUUGAAAUAAAAUGUGUGGUAAUUUAGCAUGCUGGUGAGCGGAGUACAGAAAUGGCCAAUAGCAUAAUGUUGUGAACACACUUUUUUGAACUGGACGUUAGGCCCUUUUAUUGUGAAGAUGUGAUCUGCUGUUGAAACCUGGAAAUGACUCUUUCAAAGACUGUUAUCGCACUUUUUUAUAUUCUGAAGCUCUGUUUUGUUUAACUGUUUGGAGAUAACAAAGUACAAGGUCCAAAUUGAACUAAGUACAAGAUGUCCACCUUCUAUUGAGAAGUAAAGGGGGAACCAUCGGUCCUACAUCAGAAUGCCAAAACAGCAUCAAAACAGCCCCAGUAGUUCUGUUGGUACUGUCCAGUCCUCUGCCAGGUCCCCCAUCUACACAAUGAAGUGGUCUUGAGUCUUGUCUUCUGAUUGAAGACCACCAGUCAGUAGAAAUACAGAUAUGGCUAGAAAAGAUGUAAAGAAAGAAAGACAACAGUUAAACAGAGAAAAUGUGACACAUGAUCAUUUUUUAGUCUGAGUCUGUUUGUGAAAAGACUAUCAGCUCUGUGUUCGUGUAUAUGUGUGUAUUUGUCUGUGUGAGUGUGUGUCUCUCUCUCUGUGUGCGUGCCUCGUCCCCUCUACUCCCAUCCCUCUCGCUCAGGGUCCCAUAUGUAGUGGUCUAAUCGUGCAGGGUAACUUGUCCCUCUCUCAGCAGCAACAGACCUGACGGUGGGGAAGAUCUACGCUGCCAUGAUGAUUAUGGAGUACUACAGGCAGAGCAAGGCCAAGCGCUCUCAGGCGCGUCUAGAGGCGGAGCAGGUACAACUACUGUCCCUAGGAACCAUCCCCAAACCUUCAGACAACGCAGACUGACUGAGGGCAGAGUCAGACUGACUAGAAAUACUGCUGUGCUGUUAGUACAGGGGUCAAAGCGGAGCUGUGACAACCCAUAACCACACCCAUCCACAGUCUUACUAUAGCAUUUACUUACUACGUUAUUGUAAGGUCACUUGUUAUCAUUGACCUCACCUGGCUAAUGGUUAGAGGUCAAAGGUUAGAGGACCACUGCCAUUGGGUUUACCCACUCUAGUCUUGUCUCUCAGUGUUCUUCCAUCCUCCCUUCCUUCCUAUCUAUCUCUGCAGUUAGUCGGUAUAAAACUCUGUGAGGCCCUCUGGUGGACAAAGUAUGUCACUGGUCCAUGUUAUAUUACUGUAAAUUCCAGACUAUAAGCCGCAACUUUUUUCCCAGAUUUGAACCUCGCGGCUUAAACAAUGACGCGGCUAAUAUAUGGAUUUUUCCCGCUUUCAAUUUUUUUUUUCCAAAAAAACACAUUCUGUGACGUGCUCAGUUUUUUGACGGCAUGAAGCUUUCAUUAGACCAAUGUAAUUGCCGAACGGGUUAACGUCAAACAACUUUUUUGUUUACUGUUUAGAUUAAAUCGAGCGCUCUCAAACUUCCCAUCAUUCUGAUUACAGUAGUCAUUUUGUCACCCUCAUCAUGGCAAAGACAUGCAUAUGAAAUGCAUAUGAUGCAGCUUCCAAGUUGAAGGCGAUUGAUCUGGCUGUUAGAAAAGGAAAUAGAGCUGCUGCACGGGAGCUUGGUCUUAAUGAGUCGUUGAUAAGACGUUGGAAACAGCAGCGUGAGGAAUUGACUCAGUGCAAAAAGACAACUAAAGCUUACUGC